AUUGAACGCUGGCGGCAGGCCUAACACAUGCAAGUCGAGCGGAUGAAGGGAGCUUGCUCCUGGAUUCAGCGGAGGACGGGUGAGUAAUGCCUAGGAAUCUGCCUGGUAGUGGGGGAUAACGUCCGGAAACGGGCGCUAAUACCGCAUACGUCCUGAGGGAGAAAGUGGGGGAUCUUCGGACCUCACGCUAUCAGAUGAGCCUAGGUCGGAUUAGCUAGUUGGUGGGGUAAAGGCCUACCAAGGCGACGAUCCGUAACUGGUCUGAGAGGAUGAUCAGUCACACUGGAACUGAGACACGGUCCAGACUCCUACGGGAGGCAGCAGUGGGGAAUAUUGGACAAUGGGCGAAAGCCUGAUCCAGCCAUGCCGCGUGUGUGAAGAAGGUCUUCGGAUUGUAAAGCACUUUAAGUUGGGAGGAAGGGCAGUAAGUUAAUACCUUACUGUUUUGACGUUACCAACAGAAUAAGCACCGGCUAACUUCGUG
rnacentral:rRNA from 1 species